rnacentral:lncRNA from 10 species
UCACCGAGGCAGAGCACUUUCUAUCUCUUUUUCAGAAAAAUCCCAAGGAACAAUUGUUUUGGAUUACUUAGUGGACUCAGCAUGGAAACUGCUUGUGUGGCCCAGCUAGGUAGGGGCGUUCAGACAAGGAGACCUGACCUGGAGCCUCUGGGAUGAUUCCAAGACAGUCUUGCUCUGUCAACCAUGCUGGAGUGCAGUGGUGCAAUCUUGGCUUCUGCAACCUUCACCUUCCAGGUUCAAGCGAUUCUUUUGCCUCAGCUUCCGGAGUGGCUAGGAUUACAGGAGACAGAUUCCUGAAAUUCACCCCACUGAAAUUGAGUCAGUAGGUUGGGGGCAAGCCUGGGACUCUCGAAGCUCCCCCAGGUGAUUCUGAUGAUCAGCCAGAUUUGGGAACCUUUGAUCCAGUUCACCCUCCCACCCAGUGCUCCAGCAUCCCUGCCGAGAGGUUGACUCAGCUUUUCCAAGAAGCAUUCCCUGACUUGCCUUGCCAAGGUGGGAGCUCCACCCAAGUGCUUCGAAAAUGCUGUGCUCAUC